rnacentral:lncRNA from 1 species
UUCGCAGAACUACCUCGAUGGCUAUCAACCACAAGAUCAGUAGACGAAGACCCCAACUUCUCUCUUUCUGCUUUUGGACUGGCCUAAGCGCCUGCCUGUCUCUUCUCUUGGAUAUGCUUCUUUCGAUGAGACCGCUCUGCUUUGAUCGGGAUCUUACUCCACUAAUGGUUCUGUUUUCGUACCAACUGCCGGGCCUACGCUUUUCGAGUGUAGCCUAUCUUAUCUGAAGAGCGGCGGAGAAAAGGAUACCCGCAGGGCUGGCUCGGGGGAAGAGAUUGAUACUGGUCUUUCGCUUCGGAUCUGUCUAGAGUGUGAUGUGGCCCUCUUCUCCAAUCGACUACCUCAGUAAGUUAGACUAAUACCAGAUCUGGUAAAUCUGAUCCCCGCGGAAGCAUGUUUGCUUGAUCUCUAUUUGACAUCUACAAGGCACUAAAGCUUCAACCAUAGCCGAUCACUAGAUUCAGAACUACAGCCGUAAAGGAUUGAGCAGCACCAUUGUAGGAAUAGCUCGCUUUAAUUGGCGAAGGUUCGUAUACAACUAGCAAAUUCUACUUCUACUUAAUGUAAUGCCCAUGCUGGACUAUUUGCUUUGCCGAGGAUAUCGAUAGGAUUUCUGAUCGGAUAGGAAAGGUAGCUUGUCUCGCCCGGGCCUGGUCCCCAAUGAAUCCGAAGAUCUUAGCCGAGUUCUAUUCUAGGCUCGAGACAGACAACUCUUUCUUAUUGCUGGGUAGGGACUAGGGCUGCCAGGGUUUGAGCUAUUUCAGGAAGGGCCAUGCCUGUUUCAGAAGGCGAUAAAGUUUACGCCGAUCCAUCUUCGAAUGAAGAAUUUAAACAAACGGGAUGAGGAAUACGCCUAGCGAAUGAAGGACAAAACCAGGAAAGGAACCUACCCAACUCGAUACGAUUGAAGCACACUUCUUUUUUUUUUUUAAGUUGAGCCAGACUCAAUUGCUUCUGUUCCUUCUGGGGCUGGCUUGGCUUCUUGAGUUUCCUAAAAGGCCUUCCUCGGAUGCGAUAGAGAUAGAUCGCUUUUCUUUUUAAUAAUUCUUUCCCCGCAAGCUCAACAGCGGAACCGGACCCUGGCCUCAAUGGAUCCGAAUCUGGCCUGCCCGAAGGAAUGGACUGUACGAAUUGGUCACUUGGCUGAGACUACCAUAUUUGGAAACCUGGCCUAGAUUAGAAGGAUGCGAACAAGGCAUAGUUCCGGCACUUUCUCUACUCCAAUACCUGCUUCUUCGCCUGCCCAAAACUAAUAGCUCUGUUGGAACGAGUGCUGGGAUUCAUCUUCCUCAUCUUCAUUCAUCUACCUCGCGCCGGAGACCUUCACAAGCUCACUAGUAUAGAUCAGAUCUAUCUGGCCAAAGGAUAAACUAGUAGCUAUAUGAAGACCUGCACCCGCCCCUGCUCUGAAAUGUUUCCCGAGGAACUGCUUCCAGUAUCGAUAGAAGCUCGAGUGUUCACAUGCAUACCACUACUAUCCAGCAUCAACUGGACCUGCACCUAAAGAGAAAGAGAGGCGCAGAAUCACUCAACUAGACUCACUCCCCAGAAAGCAAGGAAGCUCAAAACAACCCGCACAAGAAUGCUUCCUACACUUCCAAUUCGAUGACAGUCUAGUCCUGGGAGAAGGCAAGGCAUCUCAUCGAUUCGCAGCACUUUCAAAUGCUGGUCCGCUUGACAUAUAGCACGAAAAGGAAAUCCAUAGUGAAGCCAUAUCUUCCGUGUGCGUUCUAGUAUGGGUGACUCUUAGGAAAAGUAACAAGUGAAAGAAGCCCGCUAACCCACUCUUCUUUCCCCCUACCUACCCUUAGAAGGAAAGUAGGGGCCUCGGUUUCCUAUGAGAAACCUACACCAGGAAAGAUAUUUGCCCCACCCCAUUUUGAUUAGGUACGACUUUAUAGUUUAUUACUCAACUCCCGAAAAAUGGGGCGGAGUGCCUCACAGGCCGCCGGGUCCCUCAAAUCCUCCCUUAGUUGCAAAAGGUUUUCAAGAGAAUGCUCCUUUCCUUGGCUUCGCAAAAUAGUGGAAAAAAGCUUUUCCCGCUUGUUAUCCUCGCGAUCAGAUUCUUUUUGUAAAAUCAUCAAGGGCAUUCUUUGCCUAAAAUGUUCACAACACAUACUAUAAAAACGGUGGUUUUCCUCUAUAAUUUGAGACUCAAUGCCUCGCUUUUUCUCCUUGGUUUCUAUUCCUGAAAUAAGAUCCCCCCACUCUUGGGCUUUUCGUUUUUUUCGGCAAUCCUCCAACUUUUGAUCCAUAUCCUCUACAUAUGGAUGUGGAUGCCUUUUUAAGGAACCCUCCCCCCGAGUCGGAUUUGUCUCAGGAAGUGGGGCCGGUUCCACCGCCACCGGUGGCGUGUUGUCAUGGGGAUGAUCACCCCCUUCUGGCGAAGGGCCAGUGGUUGGGCUCAACCGUUCGCCCUCCGUAGGGCUGAGUGGCGGAUCUAUAAAAUCUGGGGCGGACCGAACCUCCAUUUCGAAUUCAAAAUCUAAAGGAGCCUUUCCUUUGCGCCCCUCUUGGGUGGAUCCCUCCCCCGCUUCCAUUAGAAGCGGUUUUUGCCCCCCCACCUUUGAAGGCAGUUUAUCGGAAGAACCCCAACUUUCUCCUUGGGUCAUCCCCAGAGUAGCACUCUGCUCCCAUAGGAGCUGGAAUAGAAAACUGAGCCACAUUACGAGUGCGCCAAUGAGAGCCUUCCGGAGCGCCAGAAAGAGUUCCGCGAGAUCAAAAAAGCAAAAAUACCAUUGCAACCAACACGAGGCAGGAAGCAGAAGCAUCAAAAAAAAUUUACGAUUCAUGACAAUCCAAUUUUUGAAGCGAAAAAACUUCUUCUUCCACUUAGGAGAGGCGGCAGAGUAGGUGCGAAUACCCAGAAGGGUACUCGCUCCUCGUGCUCCCGCUCUCGGCCCGUUGAUUGCUGUUCUUUUUUGCCUCACAGUUUUCGUGAUCGAAUUACGAAAUAGAUAUACGAGCAGCCGUAAAGGAUCAUUCGCUGGGAUGGUAAAAGUGAAUCUUUUAUGGGACGGGAUCGUGGAAUCCACUAAGUAUGCAAUCGGUAUUUGUGAUCGAUCAGCUUCCAGUAUGACCGAUGACUUUCUAUCUGGAUGAAGAAUAACCACACAAUCAGGUUGUCGGUUCAACCCAAAAUAGAUUUUAUUGUUUCUUGAACGGAAUUUCUUAGGAUUAGCAUAAGAAUUGGUAAAAAAAGCCCCGAUCUUCCAUUGAGAAUCAUUGAUACAGCUCCACAUUUUUGCCAUUAUCGAAUAUAUAAAUAAAUUCUUCGUCUUUAAAAAGAAGGAACGGCUUUUUUGACAAAUGAGAUAUCCUACAAAAUCAAGAGCGUUUCGUAAACAAAUCAGUGUCUUGUCUGAAUCGAGAAUAGCAAUUCCAUUUCUGAAACAACGGAUAUAUACUUUUAAAUGGUGAGCAGCUACCCGACGGCCGAGAUGUGCAUUCGUACAAAGUAAUUUAGUACAGACAGUUGAAAGGAUUGUCAUUUCUGGUUUUCGUUUCCGGAGAUACAGGUGGUAAGUUAGAAAUGAAAAUAGGUUAGCAGCUGAUCUUCUAACCAAAAAGAGUAAACAUCAAAGAAAGGUGAUGACAUAACCAGUAGUUCGAAAGCGCGAAAGUGGGAAGAACAAAGAUAGAAAGGUUUCGCAGGUUCAGAUUUGGAUGCACUGAACACUUUUAAAGAUCUUGUUUUAGCGGAUCCGCUAUUCCCGCUCCACUCUCUCAGAAACCAAGUCAAUUUAGACAGACGCCUCAUGAUGUCCCGUUACCAUUAGGGCCAUCGAUUCCAACAGAGGAUAAGCGCGUUAGGCGCUGGACACAUGCUCUAGUCUAGUUACUCACUGACCGAUACUUUCUUUACUGCCGCUACUCGCUCACCUCCAACUAUCUAUCCAUCCACCGGCAUCCAAUGGACUUGAAGCCGAUCUUAAGCUACGGGCCUGGGUUGGAGCGACUUCUGCAUUUCCAUUUUACCGUGUUUUUUGUCCUCAAGCAGAUUUUCUUAGUGAAAUGGGAAUCCGGAUUUGGACUUCUUCCGUUUCCAGGUUGGCUUUCUUUCUAGCUAUAAGUUGAGGGAAAAGCUGCCUGCUCUUGAUCGAUCUCAUUCUCUUCUCUGUCUCUGGAUUGCCGAGUUCGAGGAAAGGCGUAUUCGUUCGAGUCAAGCUACACAAACGGAAUGCUGCUACUGCUAUUGGUCGUAUCGGUAUCGAAUUCUCUGCAGUGGAGGAAAUAGCCGAAGAAGAAGAACUCGCAGAUGGGAUGCGAAGUGAGGUGAAUCUAGUGGCACAGGUUGACUUGUAUGAUAUGAAUCAGUAGUCAGGAUUGGUACGAAACCAGGAUCAUACGCAGUAGAUCAUUUCUGUUGGGAUCCGUCGUGUCGUGGUGAAGUAAGUGUGCCAGCUCGUGAAAUGAACAGUCUCGAGUGUGUAUCAGUUUCCCGGUUGCAGGCUGGAUCGGAGAAAAAAACAAGAUUCACUGAAUUAUGAUACGCAAAUAGUCUUUAGUGCAGGAAUGCAGGUAGUACUUUUUUUCCAGCUAAGUGAGCAGCACUUGUUCUUCUCUUCGGACUCCGAGGCGGACUUCCGUACUUGAUUUUUCUAAAGCUAGGCCAUCUUCUGCUGCUUCAUUUAGGAAACCCUACCUAAACCCUUCAAGCGGCGGAAUAUGGGAUAGGUAAGCUAUGAUUCAAGAAACCUGCCAGUCCUGAAGCAAGGUAACUCAUCUAGAUCCAGAUCUGGUUCAUCACUGGCUAUAUUCUAACCGGCAUGGCAUCCUUUGUGGAUCGAAACGGAAACUGAUCACUGGUUCUAUUCGAAAUCAUAUACCCCUGCUGAGCCUGCCGCCUUACCCAAGACCAAGAAAGAGAUCCGGAACAUGAGAAUAACCGGCACUUUCCCGGAGCAUGCCUGCCUGCAAAUCGAAUCCUAUCCUAUGAAACAAGCUUCUACUAUUCAAAUCAAAUCAAACACAGAAACCUCAGCCGGAGAUGGCGAGUCAAGUAUUGCACGCCGGUUGGAAGUCAAGCUAUCUGGAAUGCGGAGACCCCACCCGUAGCUGGUUCUAGAUCCGGAUAAUCAAUCACAAGAUCAUGCGGAGAAUUUAACAGAACAGCUGGCAUGCGCACUCAACUACUUACAAAUGCCCGUGUUUUUCGUCAUCACUAGGAUGGCAAACCAACCAGAAAAUGGAUUUGAACCAGUGCAGCUCGCCAUGGGACAAAAGUACGCAACCCAAUGGCACCCUCGAAACGAGUACGAAGAUAAGAAAACUUGCUCUCGCCAAGUGGCAAAAGAAGGCCAGUUACCAUUCCAUUACCAGAUCUAUGCCCAGCCCUGGCCCUGAAACCAGACGACAAGAGCUUGACUCCGUUCUUCGUGUACCCUUCCUUCUGUUCUUCGUGUAGCUGCACUCCACUCACAGUUGGUUGACAAUUCGGAUUUUAUCACUCGAUCCAGUGAAUUGAGACUUAUCCGACAUGGGGAAAUGAGAGGUCGAAAGCGAGAAAGUCGAUGAUAACCCGAUUCCCUUCGAAACUCUAAUGCUGUUACUGGAACUUCUAGUACUAGAAGUGAGCGUUAAACCUUUCCUGGCGAGUCAAUACAGCUCAGCUAAAAUAGCAAGGAACAUGGCGGGCACCAAUACCAUGCAAAUUAGACACCAGAAGUAGUGGAGAAGGAACCAUGCGGAAGUGGGAAUAGGCCCACCCGAGAGAGAUAUGAACAAUGCCAUUCCAGCGCCGAACUGACCUGGCAAGACAAGGCUCAAGUGCAAACUUCCGCUUCCGUUUCUUUCAUAGAGAUGGAAAAGUGGACUGGCACUAUUUCCUGGCCUGGCAGCGGGUGGAUUCUAGAAAUAUCUAGAUAAGCAUUCGAAAAUGGCCCUUCUUUACUUUACUUUAAACAAGCCUCCGUAGAAAUCUUUCCAUUCUCCCUAGUCUAGGACCCGGGAUGAGGACUCGUAUUCCUAUUUCUUUCUUUGGAUUUGAUCGAGGGCUCAAGUGGCAGCGCAGAUGUUGUUGACAUUGGAGAGACCUCGUAUGCAAUUUAUUCUCUGCUCUGCGAGAUUUUGGUAGCAUUUUUGGGUACUGUACUUACAUCAAUAAAGUGCGCUCACUUCUUUGCACUUUGACUGACAGGUACACCAUGGUUUUGGCUGACAAUGUGGAUGGCGGAGACGAUCUUGAUCUUAUUGUUACUACUAUGAACGGCAACGUCUUUAGCUUUUCCACUCCCUCACCACACCAUCCACUCAAGGUAGGCAAUGCGUUUUUGUAGUCAUGUCUUCAUUUUGUUUCACAGUAUUUAAACUUAAGUCGGAUAGAUCUUUUGGUGAACCCAUUGCAACUUCUGCUUAAAGCUGGCUUGAUACUUCAGACUUACAUAUCUCCUUUGAUCUUUUUAUUCUUUUGAUGUUUAAACAUAGAGGUGAGCAUGAAAACGAGAUAACCAUAUCAUUCCAAUUUGAUGGUAGGAAUGGAGAUCAUCAAACCAAGGAAGGAAUAAUGCUGCAUAUCGGUACAACCGUGAAGGUUUUUAUGUUAAGCAUGAUUCCAGGACCUUCCGUGACGAAGAGGGCAAGCAUUUCUGGGUAGAGUUUGAGAUUGUUGACAAGUACAGGCUUCCCUAUGGGAAUCAAGCUCCUUAUAAUGUGACGGUAUAUUCUGUCAUCCUAAAUUUUAGCCUGAUGGAAAAUAUUUUUACUAACUUCCAACUACCUUUGUUUUACUGUUGGAUUUCAGGUAACUUUACUUGUCCCUGGGAAUUACCAGGGAGAUAGGCGCAUUGUGGUCAGUGAGAUCUAUCAUCAACCAGGAAAGCAACGGAUGAAGCUUCCCACUAUUCGUGUUAGAACGACAGGAACUGUGCUCGUGGAGAUGGUUGAAAAAAAUGGGUUUUAUUUAUCCGAAAAGUUUUCACUUACAAGAGCCCACCGCUUUAGAAGUGCUUUCCUCUCUCUUUCUUUCGUACAAGUAGAUCGUUUCUGUUGGGAUGAGAUCUGUAGUCUAAGAAUCGGUUCAUAGGAAAGCACGCCUUGCAGUUGGCAUCGGUAGAAGAUUUCCGUCUUGUCCCUCGGAGUGGAGCUAGACUCACUUCCUUUGUUCGUAACAUUAUACGUUACUCACUGAGGAAGAAGGGAGUAAAGUAUCUACACUCGUAUCGGAUCUGGAGAUCUGCCCCGGGAUGGAAAGGUAUCGAUCGACCAAGAACUUGUCGAAUUUCUUUGACCUCGGAGCCCGUACAAGCUCUUCUUCCACAACCAUAUGUGACCUCCCCGAGUUUCGAACCCCUCGCCCUCUAAAUGUGGAUCUCCUCCUCCUCGUUGUUGCCGUGGAGAAAGACCGUAUUCACGUCUAGUUGAAAUAGAUGCAAGUCCUCGGCCGCUACUAUACUAUACUAUACUAUACUAUGGUAAUAUAAAUUAGUCUCUCUAUCCUUUACCAAAGCAUGGUGCGUCUCUCCCCAUCCCCAAGUGUUCCUAUAGAAAAUCCCUCCCGCCCCCAUGGGGGGGAUUUCCUAUGGGAGUGGGGAUCUAUCUCUUUAGCUCACCUCACACUGAAUUCCAGGGAAAGAUUGGACAUCCUCGGAUUACUAAGAUGAAUGAACUCUACUCUCGUAUCGUCUCUACUCGGAUCUAUCUGGAGAAUGGCAUGGCCUGUACAGUUGCGAAAAAGCCCACAUCUGUCCCGAAGGGUCAUUAUUGACCAGGAAUUCCGAAUAAAGAGAUUAUUAUUCCCAUGGCGACACUAAUUAGUUUAGUCCAAUGAAAGAAUGCUAUUAUCCAGGUGACGACACCGCUCUAUUGGCGAUACGUUCUUCUUUCGAACCAAACCAGUGAACUACAACCUAUGAACUUACCAUUCUGUGGAAAUGAAAUGAAAUACAGCUAACACUUUCUUCUGAUCUUCGGGCAGUCCAAUCUCAUCAAGAGUAGACAAUCAUAUCAACUCCGAUAUUACACACUUAAAAUGCUUCUCCCAAGCCCAAGUCAACCCCAACAAUUCCAAGAAAGCGUAUCUCCUAUCCGGGACAAGCCUUGCUUUGGGAAUAUAGAGGAGUUCACACCCAGUCCAGACUUCACUGUAUCUUUCGUUUUAGGCCAGUCCAAUGAUACGAUACGAGUGCCUAAGGCAUUCCACGGUUCCUACUGGAAGUCAAGUACCCCUCGCUAAUCCAAUGAGGAACUACCGGUUAUAUUCGUCUUUCUAUUCGUCAAUAUGCUCGUAACAUUAGUCGUUACUCGCUCGUUAGUAGUUACUCAUGAAUUAUACGUGACUCGUUCAUUAUACGUUCCUCAUUCAUUAGUCGUGACUCAUUUGUUCCGAAUAUCAAGAAAGCAUUCAUGGCCUAAGGAGCAUAUUCUUUUGACAACGGUUUCCCUCACCUCCUCUGAACAUACACUCUUAUCACGGGCUUCAACAGACGGGAUAUGCUCGAAAUCAUACUUGCUUGCACGGAUACAGACUUGCACUUGAUGGACUAAACUAAUAGGUGAGUUCUCUUCUAAUCUAAAGGAAGAGUAACGAAUUGGGUAUUCUCAAGUAUGGAAACUGCUAGGCUAGGCAAUUCUAAAGUACCUGUCAACGGGCACAUACCUCUUGACGGCUUGGGGAUUCAAACUUAAGUUCCCCAUGGUUUUAACUGAAUGGCGAUUCGUAAGUCCCCUAUUCUCAACUAUGGAAUAUGAGAUGUUUGCAUAUCACGUUUAAAAAACUAUGAAUUUUACUCAGUAAACUCCCCAGGCACUUUGCUAGCAGAUGUUUCAGUACAGCAAGGAACCUGAGAAGAGACCCGAGGAACCCUGUAGGUAGAUAGUUUUCAAGUGCUCUAGUCCUGAACAAAACAACAAGAUGCGCGGUCCCCGAUUGGGAAUAUUGAUAUCAUUGCCUGCAGGUGGGAUCUGUUGCAGUAUUCAAUGAAUAAGUAUCAAUCUCUUCUCUGCGGUUCUGGGGAAGCGGUUGUAUGUCUGGGUCCUGGGCCAAGUAGAUUGAUCGUUUGUUUGAUAUUCCCGCUGGAAUAUUUUCCAAGAAGGAAUCCGGGGAUGUCCAUGAUUCGAGUGAUAUUGGCGCUCCACUUUCAUAUGGGAUCUCUUUCGUAUUGGAUGUGGAUGGGUCUAGAGAAUGGCAUGGCCUGUACUUGUUGUGAGGAAGCCCACCUGUUGCGAAGAAUAGGAUCCAUCCCGUUGCCAAAGAAGAGGUUGCUUGUCAAAGAAGAGGCUGGUAUCGGCUUUCCCUAGUGCUCCCUGGCAAUAUUUCCACAAGAUGCCCGUAUACAGAUUUGAAAGAAUUUCAUGAAUGAGAUCAUUUCUGUUGCGAGGAAUGCCAUUGGCAGUCAACUCUUGACUCGUAUCUUGAGAAUGGACGCUGGCCUAAACCCCUCUUUGGAGUAGGCCUACCUUUCUAAUCUAACAAGUGAAUACUAAAUACUUACUAAACUAAACUAAACAAAGUAGUAGAUUUCUUCCGUCACAGCUCUGCAGCUGUCCCUCACCAAUGUCAAAGAUAGGCCACGGAUUACAUUCAAGGGAUAUCUUGCUAGGAGAAGUCUGUACAAGCUUGUUAGCCAGAUCGAGAUGUGGUUCUGUUGGGAAUCCAAUCUCCUGUCCGAGGAAUAGAAUCUCUUGCGAGGAAUGGCUAGCUCGAUCCAUCUUGUGGAAUACCCCAAGUAUCAUAUCAUAGUCAUAGCAUUGGAGCUCGUAUCGUAUCGGAACACUUGUAUCUCGUAUCAACGGAGUCAAGCAUCUAAUCUUCUACUCUAGAGAUUGGGCCUGUACGAAGAUCUUUCUUUUUGCGGGCUAAAGAUCACUCUUGUCCCUCCAGUGAAGUGGUAGUUUUCUUGCUUUGCUUAUAGAACAGAACUGAGUCUCUUAUGUUCGUAACAUACAUUAAGUGUUACUCACUCCAUUGGCAUCUACAAGUGGUGCUUACGAGAGAGGCCUGCCUAGACCGAGAUAGGAAUCAUCAGUGGAUACGAGCGAGAAGAAAGAAAUCUAUCUGUCCAGCUUUGGCAGUAGGGAAUCAUACCAAUUCGUCUUUAUACUCAUUCGUUAUACGUGAUUCGUUCAACACAGUCUAGUCGAUCUGUCUUGUCCCUCGCAACUUGACAGUGGAAACAGAAGCAUGAGUGAAUCCGUACUGUACUAUACUAUACUAUACUAUUCGAACACAUCUCUUCACCCAGUGCCAUGCCACAGUGAGUGGAGCUAAGGAUGAAUGCAUGGGAUCCGUGUUCUAAGUGUUGUCUUAAGUGUUCUAAGUUCAGUUGUAUCUUUUUCUUGUAAGUUUCCGAAUAUUCUAAAAAAUAUUGGAAUGCCUCUGUCUUGUCCUUUGAGAAGUGAGUGGAGGGUAGGAUCCCGCCUUCUUAUAUUCGUCACGUUACAACUCUUAUCCUUCGAUUUCGCAACGAAGGAACUCUGGCUUGGUAUGGUAGGAGGAUGGAUAUGCUUUGUAGCAGAAUCAGAUGCUGGCUUUAUAUUCUCUUUUCUAUUCUUUUCAAGCGAGAAACGACUAAUUCAUGAGGAACUCCCGGUUAUAUUCUAUUCAUUAUACUUGCCUUGGUUGUUCCGAAUCUAGGGACGAGCAGGGAUUAGUAUAGUAUAGAAGUGACUCAUGAAUUACAACUCUUAUCCUUGAUUAUUAUAUUAUAGUGUGGAAGACGAAGAUCUUAAAGAAGAAAAGAUGGAGUGCCAUGCCACUAAAAGAAACCUAGGUGGGGAAACCGGUUAUAUUCGUAACAACUCAUUGGCUUUUUCAGAGAGAAGUAGCCGCUCCGUCGUCUAUUCUAUAUAGUGCUGCAAGCUGAGAACAAAGUAGCUCUCGCCUAGCAAACUAGAUUCGUAACAUUGCCUACGAACUCAUAUCUGCUCCGCAUGAAGAAAAUCAUAUCUAAGGAUAGAAUUCAUCAAGCCAUAAAAUCAUAAAUCAUAGAGAAAUGUUCUUCUAUCUGCGCCAAUGUUGAUAAGUGCAGUUCCUCAAAAUAAAAAACAAGAAAAUGGGAGUUCCUCCUAUCUGUUCCGCUCAAUCAGUGACAGUGGAUAGAUUCAGAAAAAUAUCUCGAAUUCACUUACAUAGAAUAGAAACAUACUCGUCACAUUCGAUAGAAUUCAUCGAAAACAUACUCGUCAUAUGCUCGUCACGGAACUAUUUUAGUGACUCGCUCAUUACUUAAAAAAUAUGUCAUUCCUUCUAUUUUGGGUUUCUUGAUUGAUAGAAGUUCCGGCACAUCUCCGAAAAGAUUGGGGGCCCAAAGUGCACCACAGUAGCGCCAUCCAAAGGAGGGCCGUGGAGCCGGUAACCUGGCCAGUUUACGAGAUGUGAUACAGGAUCACCUCUGUCAUUUCUAGAUUCCAAUGAGUAACUCCUAACGAGCGAGUAACGACUAAUGUUACGAGCAUAUUGAGGAAUCUAUUAAUCGUUUCAUUCAUUUAGAAUAUAAAUUGCAAAAACUUGUAUUUAGCUCAUCCAGAAAAAUAUUCAUAGAACAUGUGAAGCAAGGAGACAAUCAUUUCUUUGGCUAGCAGCAACGAUCAAAUUAGAUUCGUCUUUAUGCUUUACACGGAAGUGAGUUGCAUCUAAGUUAAGUGACUCGCUCGAGUUUAUCAUUGAUUAAGGGAACAAGCAAUCCUCGCUAAUCGACUAAUACCUAGCGAACCAACCACCUACUCUACUUUUGUAUCGGGUGCCCAAUAUUUGAAAGGCCACUCUACCUCUAUGAUCAAUCAAUCCUUCCGAGUACGGGUUGUUGUUGCUUUGCUUAUGAAAUAACAUAAUGCCCGCCAUCAGGAGGAAUCGCUGGCUCGAUAUCACUCUGAAAGGUGGAAUCUCAUAGUGAGUUGAGUCAAGUUGUGCCAACCAAUAGCCCUGAACAGUGCCAGUAGCUCCUAUCUCGUUCCAGUAGUCCUAUCUCUAGUGAUGCUUUCCCCCCCCGGGCAGAAAGAAGACAGUCAAAUCAAGGAAAAAGUACUUUAAAGUAUUCGAUUCUAUUAGCACGCUCCUUCAUACCCAACUUGGCCUGCUAAGUAAGAUAUCAUGAUUGGAGGGAUUUCCAGACAUUAGUCAUGCUUACAACCAAUCCGUAUCCCCUUGGUGCCAGCACGGGUUCCUUCAUUGUAGGAAAGAGAGAUGUAGGGAGAUCGCCGUUCCAGGUCCUCCUAUCAAACAAAGAAAGGGAACUACCUCCAACUAUGGUUACUACUGUAAAGGAGCCGGUUCUAGAAAUUGAGAACAUAAGUGAUCCUUUUAUCGGGAUGCGCUAGACGAGAAAUAGCACUAGUAAAGUGAAGCAAGUAGUUGAAAGCGUUGGCGCGAAGCGUUGUUCGAAGAUGCAUUUUCUAUAAUUAUAAUGGAGCAAAAAGCUAGAAAGGGAUCAUCCGAGAGCCAUAUGUGAAUGUAUGGUGCGCUGGGCCAGCGAAGCCAUAGAAACUCUCUCUCAAAGCAGUAAGCGAGCUUCGCCAUCACUCUAUUAGAUAGGCCGUGCGUGGGGUAAGAGAUCUCUCUCAGCCGUUCCGUUCCCUGGGCCUCAAGGUGCGGAGCCUGUAUAUACGUAAUUAGAUCGAUCUAUGAACAAAGGAAAGAGUCAGUCCGGUAAAUCUCAUAUUGGCGUACUAUCUAGAGGGAUUCGAGAUGUGAAAAUAGGAGUGGUUGAAGCAUCGAAAGGUGUCUCCGUUUUUAUUACUUGGUUGGGUGCCAGUCUGUCUGCUUUUUUUUAGUCGAACUCUCGCAUCAAAGGGGUAUGGGCAAUCGCCGCUAUCCGUGGACAUGACUUGGGAAGUCUUUAGUUGCCACAGGUACGGGUCCGUUCGAGGCAGACUGAGAAGCGGUCUCUUAACAGAUAGAUCCGGAGAUUUUGGAGAAACACGGAAUCCUCACUCUACAGCAAUUCAUGGAAAUGGUGCCAGUGCCUGAGUACGGGUCGCGGAAAAAAAGUGCCAGAGUAAUUUCGCGGGAUUUCUAUCGUAUACAUACAGUUGAGGUACUCCCGCCAAUCUCGGGUCCUGCUUCUAGCAACCAUAAUAACUAGCCGUUUAGCACUAUCGAACUAUAUGAGGAUAACUUUUCUCAAAGAAUAGCAAUGAAAUAGCGUAAGAGUGGUGCCUCACAUUGGUUAAGUGGUCCGAAUAGAGAAGUUCUAAGUGUGAAUGGUAUCGCCCUGUUUCUCACUCUGUUUUGUAAAGGUAACUGGUUCCACCAUCGUUUCCGGGCAGUGAUCUCCACUCUGAAUAGUCCUCCCUCAAGUGAAACGUAUGGUAUGAAGAGAGCUAAUAUGGAUUCGCAGAACGGGCUAGCACUAUUCGAACACAUCUCGAUCACCAAGGUCACGUCACAAUUCUAGAUCUGGAUAAGAACGGCAACCCUCUCGUAGAAAGAAACCCUCCAGAAAGGGAUAGGUUCUAUUCUCGCAACAGAAGAGAUCCAAUCAACCAAAGAACAAGUCAAGCCGCAGGGAUGGAUCAGCCUGACCCGGCACCCGAUUCAGAUCUGUAUCUCGGGCUAGCAUGAGCGCAAUCCUCAUCUAUGCUUUUCUCUGUGAUGCGGGGGGCUACCCAUUUAAGGAAAGCUGGGCUGUAAAAGGGCAAUUCAGUUCUUCACAACCGCUUUUAGGAGCAAACGAUCCUUGCCUUAGUAUACAAAAAGAGAGGAAUGAAUCAUCUCGUAUUUUCUUGUGGGAUAACCUUCAUCAGCUUUUAUCUCCAGCUACACAGCCUCUCACUCUUGUCAUUACAUUGCGGCAGCAUUGCAGUUCUGGCACUUGUUCAGCUCUUAGUGCAUUCUCAGAUGCCUCCUCAUCCUGAGCUAGCCGUCACAUUUUCUCGAAAUCAUGGCGACAGGAAGGGCUAAAAGAGACCUCAUCUGGUCAAGAAGCAAGGGCAACAUUUCAAAAUCGAGUACUAAAAUAUAUAGUAUAGCAGUAUCUGAUCCUUGCUUGGGAGGAAUUCCUAAGAAAAGAGAGUUCUCUCAGCCAGUGAGUUCCCUCUGCCAGACAAGCCAGUUCCUUCAGAGAUGGAGAAGUAGCUCGGGCAGUAGAAAGCAGAGAUGGAGAAGUAGCUCGGUCAGUGGAAAGUAUCCGAUUGAUAGUCUCCUACCCUUGGGAAGACUUCCAUAAAUAGAGAUAGAUCCCUCCGAUCCCUAAAGUAGAGGCACUCGUUUGAAGGAAGAGAAAGCCUUGGAACUACUCGUACCAAAGCCAGCCAGUACUUUUCUUGAUCGCUUAUCCUCGAUCUUCCAGAUAGAGUUCUGAGUGCUCAUUUCUUAUAGAAUCGAUUUCUAACCUUAGUUGAUAGACAGAGAAAGCCCUGUGCUGUGUGUGCGUAUCUUCCUACGAACUAGAGCGAAGCGGAGUAGCUUCUUUUUCCGCUUAAAUCAAAGGAUGGAAUGUUGGACUAUCAACCAACUGAGACUGCGCGAACUAGAUAGCCGAACAGCUAAAGCAAGCAGUUACCAGACAAAGGCGAAUGAAAGGAAACACAAACCGCAAGGUCAAGAUGUUUUCUAGCGGCCGUCUAGCGCAUCCGUUUUCUUGCUUGGAUGAGUUCUGGAAGGGAUAGAGGGAUUAGGGAUAUUAUCACUGAAUUGAGAUAUGCAUUCCAUCCAGAAGUUUCAUUUCCGCUUGAAGAAAGAGUGGGAACGUCGGAUUAAGCUUCCAAAAGUGGGCUAAUUGACCAUAUUUAAUUUAGGAAGGAAGGCCUGUGCUCAAACUAGAGGUUUCUCCACUCCAAUCAGGAUAGCAAGAUAUCGAUUAUCCCGAGUGUAUGUGACUUCCUGAAUAUCCAUUCCAUUGUUAGAUGAAUUAGCUGGGCUUUUGUUCGAGUCAAGCAGUGGGUUUGGAUGAAGCGAAUGUUGUUGCUGGCGGUGUGGUAGAGGUAGGAUAUUGUCCUUUAUCCCCGGGAGAUGAUUGCGGAUAGGUUCUUUCUUAUUUAUGCUCCUAAGUUAGCUAUCGGCCUGUUCGCCCACAUAAGCCUGAGACUCAUCCACCUAGGAACCCGGAAAUGCUUAGAGCAAUAGCCAGCGAACUAAUUUCACUUGCUGAGAGGAUGAAAGGUGCCUCAACAAUCCUCAUGUCCAAUAUCUGCUGCCGAGAGAAUCUCUGCGGCUCUAUCUCGACCGUACAGAAGUAAGUUAGUUGCUUUUAUUUUAGCAGAAAAGCGGCACGGCAGGUCGUGCCUGUCAGAUUUGAUUCGAUCAGAUAGGGAAUCCCCACUUUUCCAAGACAACUACAUUUCCAUUUCCGUUACAGCGAGAAAAAAGAUAGUGUGCCACCUUGAGUCAAGGUAUAUUCCUUCUUUUGCUUCUUUUUCAGAACGAAGGGCUCCAUCCUUCUUUCUAAUUCGGCCCCCGGGGCUAUAAUAUGGCGAGGAGACAGCACUUUUUCAGAUAUGAACGAACCUUUACUCGUACCUCUAACAGAAAUGUGGAGGAGUUGAUUUCCGAUCUUUAACCGGAAGACGAGUCAAUAAGUCAACAAAAGGGGUUACUCCCACCUUAGAGCACCACUACAUUUACUUACUACGCGCCUAUCCCUAUCACAUUCAUUUCUUUUACUUUCCUGUCUAUCAUUACAGACCGGGGCUUUACUUUCCUACAAGGAUUCCAGAUACUCUACAUGGUCUCCGCAUUCAUUCCUGUCUGCGAAUCUCUAUUCCAACCUCUACUCUGGGAUUCUCUUCUUGUGUGCUACUCUAGACAUAUUGACAAGCCUGGCACUACUUCUACCUUAGAAACAGGAUGAUGGUACACUUCCCUACAGGUCAGUUCGGCGCUGGAAUGGUUGUUUCCUUUAGGCGCAUCGUAUACUUGACCGGCACAUUCAUCCUAGUAAGUUUAACGGAUUGGAGGUAGUUCCCUUUCUUUGUGCGCGUAUACCUUCCCGGGUAAGUAGUAAGCUUUAGGAAAGACAACCAUUGGUUCAUAGGGAGAUUCGUGUCAUAGGUGCGCCGGUUUCUGACGAGGUUUGUGAUGUCUCCAGGCCAGGUCUAAGCAUAGCAUAGUGGGCUCCUAGCUUUUUUGGGUGUCUCUGUUCCAGAAAGGAUAUUGGAUGGAGCAGGUUCCUUGCUUGAUUGGAAAUCUUGAUAUCUUGCCAGGUUCGGUAAGGUUGACGUUGGUGCUAGAGCAACAGCUCUAUUAUGGAUUCUCGUACUCGUGAUGUGUCUUUAGCAAGACCAGGGCGGCACUUCCAUUGGUUUCAAGUCCAUCCAUUGCGGGUUCCUAUCCUAGGUUUCCUUUUCUAAUAUUUCCAUUCCAGUUUCUUAGCCCGGGUACCUAUCCACCAACACCAUUCGAGUAGAGUUGGGUAGAGCGUGCAUCUAAAAGAGUGGUUUCACCCUUGCCUUGAUUGAUAUCUGACCUACUGCCAUCUAGUAACCUUAAAGGUUGCGAAUCCGGAUAUCAUUCAUUCCUUGGAUCUUAUCAUUCUUUCCGAAGUAGAAGUGAGUCUAUUGACCUUGCUUUCGAAGUUUAUUUCCUUGGUUCUGACGCGUGGUUUUUGAUUCUCCACUUCUAAUGACAUCAUGAUCGCACGACACUGUACUUAUUAAUGACAUAUAAUCCGAGGGAUAGGGAAAGUGCUUUCUACAGUGAUGCUAAUCUCUAUUUCUUAGCUUGGCUUUAUUUUAUUGACAGAGGGGUUUCAGGGCGGGUUGUAUGAAUCAAAGAAAAGGAUUGGUCUCAGGUCAGCUGCUCCCUGGAAAAAGCUGAAAUGAAUCUUGGAAUCUUAAUACUUCCUAGUCUCUUGUUUCGAGGAAAGACAGUUGAAUAGCCCGGGUUUCAGGGAAGGCUUCUUUCUUUCUUCCGUGGAUUUCAUCGUUCUAGUUAUCUCAUUUCUGUGUUCGUCUACAUUUCUUGUGUUGGUUGUUAGGAAAGCUGGUAGACUAGCUUCUUUUUAUUGGAAAGGAUGGAAACAUCAUAGUCUCAAUUGAAAGGAUUCUUCUCGUGAUGUGUCUUUACCGUCGAUUGCACCUAUCCUUAGAAGCAUACGAAUUAGGAUUUCGCCGGGAUAAGUGACAUGAUCGAACCUUACGGAAAGGAAACAGCAACCUAAGAAACAAGUCAAGUCCAGGAUAGAUCUAAGCUUCCCUUGCUUGUUCCGUUUAGGGUUAUUGGUUCUUCUGGAUAUCUCUCUAAGUCACCUUGUGUUUUGGGCUUGGCUUUCAUCUAACCAUCCUUAUAUCCAGGCCAGUGCUUUCAAUCAAACAGGAACAGGACAGGAUGAGAAACAGAUUGGGUGAAGCCCUGUGCUGUGUGCUCGUAGACUUGGUUCUCUUAUGUUGCGAGAAUCGAUUGACUUCCGGCAUCCCUCGAUGGAUGGAGCUAUGGCCAGUGCUAAAGAAGAGGAUGAGGGAAAAGUUCUUCUUAUCCGGAUCUAGAUGAGCGACCCGUAACAGGUAUAAGCUUGACAGGUGCAAUGCGAGGCAGCGCCUAGUUCUGGAUAUCUUGCCGCUUGCAGGACAGGAUAGGUAUAGGGGAUCCGGUAAAGAGACAGACACAGACAACUAUUCUAUUCUCUCUGGUGCCGGUGAGAAUCUAGCCUAAGUAGUCACCAUUGGCGGUUCAUAGCUUUCCGGGUCAGCGUUCUCUUAUCUUGUAUCUUGAUUGCCGGGUCAUCUCUUUUCUUUCUUGCCGGGCAGGGCAAGUAGUCACCAUUGGCGGUUCAUACGUUUCUGGGAUCCCUUUGAGUGUGCAUGCAAGGAUAGGAGCCAUCCAUUGCUUUACAGGUUCGCAUAUAACCUACUGGUUCUUAGCUCUACUUAUGAAUUCCUAGCUUGAUCUUUCCUUCUCUCAAUUGGGCCAGGGUACCUGGUAUUGGUUUCCUUAUCGAGAUGGGUUCGUAUAACCUUUGUAGUUGCAUAGCUUUCUUAGUGGCCGACCAUCCUUUCCAGACCUUCUCUAGAGUAGAGCUCCUCCAUCCAUAGCUUGAUCUUUCCUUGACUGUCCUCCUUCCGAAAGUACCACUUUUGCAGAUCAACUUGAUCGAAAAAUAAAGCUAAAAAAAGAAUCCGUAGUCGGGAAACGAGAAAAACACGACUUUUGCAGCUAUAUGAGAUACACUUUUUUCAUUGGAAAUCGAGUUUCCUUAGGGAAAAUCAGAGUCACGACUUUUGCAGCUAAGUGAGAUGGAAGUUUUGAUUCUCCGCUAAAGCCCAUGCUUGGUGCCAUCGGGAAACCGGAAUCAAGAUUUUCCAUAGUUCGAUCGAUGGCUAUUGGUCGUAGGAGUCAAGCGUAUUCUCAUUCUUGGUAUUGGAAGCAGUGGUCCGGUUCUUGGAGCUACAACUAUUGGUCGUGUCCUGUGGAAAGAAUCCAUCUAGUCAGCCUACGAAACCUAUCAUUCCUACGAGAAAGUGACGAACACGGCAACAGGAACAGCUUGCUUCCCUCAAUGCGAGUACGACUACUCCUUUCCUCUGUUCACUUCCUCUUCAUAUGAGAUCUUCUUUCCUCUGUUCAUUCACUCCUCAGUGAGUAACGUAUAAUGUUACGAACAAAGGAAGUGAGUGGAAUCACUCAUGCCUCCCUGAUCCGCUAUUCUUUUCCAGUUGGUGGAUUUGCUGCUCGCCGUGGGGAGAUCCACUUUUAUCAUCUCAUAAGAAAGCCAGUGGUGGAGUUAGCUGGUUUGACCAGAAGUGGUGGAACGGAUUCCGUCAAGGAAACUAGAACCAGGAAUGGUUACCUGGCAAGAGAUACUAGUAAGUAUAUAUUAUAUCUAAUAUCAAGGUACUGUCCGGAACUACGAGCGGAUCUAUAAGGGAUGGCCUGGAAGCAGAAUCAAGGGAUCUUCUUGGUAUGGUUGUAGGUCGGCGAGAUGUCCAGUUUGUCUGUAUGAGCCUAAUAAACAAGCCUAUGGGUACACAGUCAACCCGAGCUAAAGCUAUUUAUGAAGAGUGGCGGUCACAAGCAUUGAGCACCGAUAUCUAAAAACAAAGCGUGGAUAAACCGAACCUGGAGAAUCAAGCGUCGGACAGCCAAGCCACUAUUUCGCUUUGAUCGAACAGAAAUAGGAUAGAGCUUUAGUACUCGAUCGGUAUGGGGAGAGGGAGUUUACUUGAGGGUACUGACUUGCCUAUACUAAAUAAAGGAAGAGUCCGCAAAGCUGAGCUUUCGGUUCGCUCCCCAGGCCUUCAACCCUGUUUGCCUCCUUUCUCUUGCUUGAUGGAAUAGUUCAAUGCCCGAGCUCCAGCUUUGCUUGCGUUCUUCACCGGCGCUCGCCGGAUGUAUCACUCAUCCCGAAAAUAAGGCAAGGAGUCUGCUGUUUGUUUGUUAUAAUCAUUACGGGAAUGAAUCGCAUAUGUUGGUUUAGAAUUGCUCGGGAAUUCAUUGAUAGUGA